UACGGGGGGGGCAAGCGUUGUUCGGAAUUACUGGGCGUAAAGGGCUCGUAGGCGGCCAACUAAGUCAGACGUGAAAUCCCUCGGCUUAACCGGGGAACUGCAUCUGAUACUGGAUGGCUUGAGAUUGGGAGAGGGAUGCGGAAUUCCAGGUGUAGCGGUGAAAUGCGUAGAUAUCAGGAAGAACACCCGUGGCGAAAGCGGCUCUCUGGAACGGUACUGACGCUGAGACGCGAAAGCGUGGGGAGCGAACAGG
rnacentral:rRNA from 1 species